UACAGAGGUCCCAAGCGUUGUUCGGAUUCACUGGGCGUAAAGGGUGCGUAGGCGGUUUGGCAAGUCUGAUGUGAAAUCCCGCAGCUUAACUGCGGAACUGCAUUGGAAACUGCUUGACUAGAGGAAUGGAGGGGAGACUGGAAUACUUGGUGUAGCAGUGAAAUGCGUAGAUAUCAAGUGGAACACCAGUGGCGAAGGCGAGUCUCUGGACAGUGACUGACGCUGAGACGCGAAAGCGUGGGGAGCAAACAGG
rnacentral:rRNA from 1 species